GGGGGUAUAGCUCAGUGGUACAGCACAUGCUUAUCAUUUGCAAGGUUCUAGGUUCCAUCCCCAGUACCUCUG
rnacentral:tRNA from 1 species